GACGAACGCUGGCGGCGUGCCUAAUACAUGCAAGUCGGACGAACCGAGAAGGGAACUUGUUCCUCUCUUGGUUAGUGGCAGACGGGUGAGUAACACGUGGAGAACCUACCUUUCAGCGGGGGAUAACCAUUGGAAACGAUGACUAAUACCGCAUAGGACUUUGAGUCACCUGACUUAAAGAGGAAAGACGGCUUCGGCUGUCACUGAAAGAUGGCUCCGCGGUGCAUUAGCUAGAUGGUAAGGUAACGGCUUACCAUGGCCAUGAUGCAUAGCCGACCGGAGAGGGUGAUCGGCCACAUUGGGACUGAGACACGGCCCAAACUCCUACGGGAGGCAGCAGUAGGGAAUCUUCCGCAAUGGACGAAAGUCUGACGGAGCAACGCCGCGUGUGUGAAGAAGGUCUUCGGAUCGUAAAGCACUGUUGUUAGAGAAGAACACCCGGUAGAGUAACUGUUACCGGCAUGACGGUAUCUAACCAGAAAGCCACGGCUAACUACGUGCCAGCCGCCGCGGUAA
rnacentral:rRNA from 1 species